AUGGAAGUUAUCGAAGAAGAAGAUACAACCAUAAAGAACUUUGCAGGUUUGGGAAGGGUAUUUUGGACUGGUUAUGAGCAGGUUUGUAGGCUGGUUUGUAGUGGUGUAGAGUAUUAUAUGCAAACCAGAUCCUGGGUUGGCACUUGGGCAUACAAGGGUUGCGGUUUAUUGUGCAUUGGAUUUGGUUGUGUAUGUGGGAAGGUUUGGAAUGUACUAAUAGUGCAGAUCGAUGUUUGGAUAAGUCUUGGCAUGGUGGAUGUUUUGAAGAAAGCUUAA